GGAUAGCUGAGUCAGUAGAGCAUGAGACUCUUCAUCUCGAGGUUGUGGGUUCAAGCACCACCUUGAGCA